rfam:Ixodes scapularis strain Wikel colony gcontig_1108379875662, whole genome shotgun sequence.
GCCGCCAUAGCUCAGUGGCAGAGCACUGGUCUUGUAAACCUGGGGUCGUGGGUUCGAUCCUCACUGGCGGCU